GACAUAGUGACUUAGUGGUUAGUGUGUUUGUCUCGCACCUCCAGCGUUGGGGGUUUGAACCCCACUUCUGCCA